rnacentral:rRNA from 1 species
GACGAACGCUGGCGGCGUGCCUAAUACAUGCAAGUCGAGCGAAGUUUUUCUGGUGCUUGCACUAGAAAAACUUAGCGGCGAACGGGUGAGUAACACGUAAAGAACCUGCCUCAUAGACUGGGACAACUAUUGGAAACGAUAGCUAAUACCGGAUAACAGCAUUAACUACAUGGUUGAUGUUUAAAAGUUGGUUUUGCUAACACUAUGAGAUGGCUUUGCGGUGCAUUAGCUAGUUGGUGGGGUAAAGGCCUACCAAGGCGACGAUGCAUAGCCGACCUGAGAGGGUGAUCGGCCACACUGGGACUGAGACACGGCCCAGACUCCUACGGGAGGCAGCAGUAGGGAAUCUUCCGCAAUGGGCGAAAGCCUGACGGAGCAACGCCGCGUGAGUGAAGAAGGAUUUCGGUUCGUAAAGCUCUGUUGUUAGGGAAGAAUGAUUGUGUAGUAACUAUACACAGUAGAGACGGUACCUAACCAGAAAGCCACGGCUAACUACGU